rnacentral:rRNA from 1 species
AAAGUCCCCUUCGGGGGAUAAGUAGAGUGGCGUCCGGGUGAGUAACACGUAGGUAAUCUACCUUCGGGUGGGGAAUAACCCAGGGAAACUUGGGCUAAUACCGCAUAAUGCAGCGGCACCACAUGGUGACAGUUGUUAAAGCGGGGGAUCUUCGGAUCUCGCGCCUGGAGAGGAGCCUGCGGCAGAUUAGCUAGUUGGUAAGGUAACGGCUUACCAAGGCGACGAUCUGUAGCCGGCCUGAGAGGGCGGUCGGCCACACUGACACUGACAUACGGGUCAGACUCCUACGGGAGGCAGCAGUCGGGAAUUUUGGGCAAUGGGCGAAAGCCUGACCCAGCAACGCCGCGUGAAGGAUGAAAUCCCUCGGGAUGUAAACUUCGCAAGAAUGGGAAGAAUUAGUAGGGGUUAAUACCCUCUAUGAUGACGGUACCAUUUGUAAGCUCCGGCUAACUCCGUGCCAGCAGCCGCGGUAAUACGGGGGGAGCAAGCGUUGUUCGGAUUUACUGGGCGUAAAGGGCGCGUAGGCGGUCAGCACAAGUCAGUUGUGAAAUCUCCGGGCUUAACUCGGAAAGGUCAACUGAUACUGUGCGACUAGAGUGCGGAAGGGGCAACUGGAAUUCUCGGUGUAGCGGUGAAAUGCGUAGAUAUCGAGAGGAACACCUGCGGCGAAGGCGGGUUGCUGGGCCGACACUGACGCUGAUGCGCGAAAGCCAGGGGAGCGAACGGGAUUAGAUACCCCGGUAGUCCUGGCCUUAAACGAUGGAUGCUUGGUGUCUGGAGUUUUAUAGUCUCCGGGUGCCGUAGCUAACGCGUUAAGCAUCCCGCCUGGGGAGUACGGUCGCAAGACUGAAACUC